CCUAAUACAUGCAAGUCGAACGAACUCUGGUAUUGAUUGGUGCUUGCAUCAUGAUUUACAUUUGAGUGAGUGGCGAACUGGUGAGUAACACGUGGGAAACCUGCCCAGAAGCGGGGGAUAACACCUGGAAACAGAUGCUAAUACCGCAUAACAACUUGGACCGCAUGGUCCGAGCUUGAAAGAUGGCUUCGGCUAUCACUUUUGGAUGGUCCCGCGGCGUAUUAGCUAGAUGGUGGGGUAACGGCUCACCAUGGCAAUGAUACGUAGCCGACCUGAGAGGGUAAUCGGCCACAUUGGGACUGAGACACGGCCCAAACUCCUACGGGAGGCAGCAGUAGGGAAUCUUCCACAAUGGACGAAAGUCUGAUGGAGCAACGCCGCGUGAGUGAAGAAGGGUUUCGGCUCGUAAAACUCUGUUGUUAAAGAAGAACAUAUCUGAGAGUAACUGUUCAGGUAUUGACGGUAUUUAACCAGAAAGCCACGGCUAACUACGUGCCAGCAGCCGCGGUAAUACGUAGGUGGCAAGCGUUGUCCGGAUUUAUUGGGCGUAAAGCGAGCGCAGGCGGUUUUUUAAGUCUGAUGUGAAAGCCUUCGGCUCAACCGAAGAAGUGCAUCGGAAACUGGGAAACUUGAGUGCAGAAGAGGACAGUGGAACUCCAUGUGUAGCGGUGAAAUGCGUAGAUAUAUGGAAGAACACCAGUGGCGAAGGCGGCUGUCUGGUCUGUAACUGACGCUGAGGCUCGAAAGU
rnacentral:rRNA from 1 species